UUCUGGAACUUCUGAGCCCAGGUCUCAAGAGAACUGGCAGUUUAGACUCCCUUUUGGAACCUAGACAAUGGUAUAAGCAACUACUGCCACAUGGAGAAAAUACAUGGAAGAGGGAUGAAGUCCCCACCAAUGGCUAGCUAGUAGUAACUUCUGCCAUGUGAGUGAGCCCUCGUGGAUGUCUCCUCCAGGGUUGAAGGAGACUGAGAGAAAUUGUUCCUUCCAGGGUGAAGUAACCUGUUCCUAAGAGAUCCACAAGGAAGGAUGGAUCCAAAGUCUGUAUUCACAGCACCCAAAGGUCCUCUUGCUCUUCGACACCAUUAAACAUGUUAGAAAACUUAGAAGAUUCUUAAGAUACUGAUCACAAUGGGUUUGCUACUUUUUUUUCUUUUAAUAAGUCUAGAAUAAAAAUCCUUCAGUGAC